rnacentral:rRNA from 1 species
GACGGAGGUGGCAAGCGUUGCUCGGAAUCACUGGGCGUAAAGGGCGCGUAGGCGGGGAGGUAAGUCGGGUGUGAAAUCCCUCGGCCCAACUGAGGAACUGCGCCCGAGACUGCUUCUCUUGAGUCCCGGAGAGGAAGAUGGAAUUCCCGGUGUAGCGGUGAAAUGUGUAGAGAUCGGGAGGAACACCGGUGGCGAAGGCGGUCUUCUGGACGGUGACUGACGCUGAGGCGCGAAAGCGUGGGGAGCAAACGGG